rnacentral:rRNA from 1 species
AAUAUUUGACAAUGGGGGCAACCCUGAUCCAGCCAUGCCGCGUGUGUGAAGAAGGUCUUCGGAUCGUAAAGCACUGUAAGUUGGGAGGAAGGGCUCUAGGUUAAUACCCUGGAGUUUUGACGUUACCAACAGAAUAAGCACCGGCUAACUCUGUGCCAGCAGCCGCGGUAAUACAGAGGGUGCAAGCGUUAAUCGGAAUUACUGGGCGUAAAGCGCGCGUGGGUGGUUCAGUAAGAUGGGUGUGAAAUCCCCGGGCUUAACCUGGGGACUGCUUUCAUAACUGCUGGGCUAGAGUACGGUAGAGGGUAGUGGAAUUUCCUGUGUAGCGGUGAAAUGCGUAGAUAUAGGAAGGAACACAAGUGGCGAAGGCGACUACCUGGACUGAUACUGACACUGGGGUGCGAAAGCGUGGGGAGCAAAC